rnacentral:rRNA from 1 species
GGCUUAGAAGCAGCCAUCCUUUAAAGAAAGCGUAACAGCUCACUGGUCUAAAUAAGAGAUUCUGCGGCGAAGAUGUAACGGGGCUCAAGACACGCACCGAAGCUUAGGGUGUGCGCUUUUAAGCGUACGCGGUAGCGGAGCGUUCCGUAAGCCGUUGAAGCGAUCUGGUAAUGGGUCGUGGAGGUAUCGGAAGUGCGAAUGCAGACAUGAGUAGCGAUAAAGAGGGUGAGAUGCCCUCUCGCCGAAAGACCAAGGGUUCCUGCGCAAGGCUAAUCCGCGCAGGGUGAGCCGGCCCCUAAGACGAGCCCGAAGGGGGUAGUCGAUGGGAACACGGUUAAUAUUCCGUGACCUGGUGGA